ACGUAGGAGGCAAGCGUUAUCCGGAGUUACUGGGCGUAAAGGGCGUGCAGGCGGUUGGCUAAGUUCGUUGUGAAAGCGCCCAGGCUUAACCGGGCGAGGACAAUGAAGACUGGUCAGCUUGAGUGCGGCAGAGGGGGGUGGAAUUCCACGUGUAGCAGUGAAAUGCGUAGAGAUGUGGGGGAACACCGAUGGCGAAGGCAGCCCCCUGGGUCGACACUGACGCUCAUGCACGAAAGCGUGGGGAGCAAACAG
rnacentral:rRNA from 1 species